UACGGAGGGAGCUAGCGUUGUUCGGAAUUACUGGGCGUAAAGCGCGCGUAGGCGGUUCUUCAAGUCAGUGGUGAAAGCCCGGAGCUCAACUCCGGAACUGCCAUUGAAACUGUUGAACUUGAGUACGAGAGAGGUGAGUGGAAUUCCCAGUGUAGAGGUGAAAUUCGUAGAUAUUGGGAAGAACACCGGUGGCGAAGGCGGCUCACUGGCUCGUAACUGACGCUCAGGCGCGAUAGCGUGGGGAGCAAACAGG
rnacentral:rRNA from 1 species